CCCGCCCCGCCAACUGCAGGCAGCUUGUGCUACCCUUUGUAGUUUUACGGAAGGUGAAGACUAAGUUCACGCCCCCCCCCCCCAGCCCCAAAGCACUCUGGGUGAGCAGCUACUCCUGUGGUUUCUCAUUGGCUCUCUCACUCUCAAAACAGCUCGUUCCCAGCCCCUCCAAGCAUUUCGUGGUCCACGUGACCAAUAGCAGCAAGAAGAAGUGGAGGUUUAUUGUCCGGCUGUACACAGCACAAGCAAGAAAGCAUGGUAUAGCAGAAAGGACUCUGGAAAGAGACUGCAGUCUGAGCUCUGGGGCUUUCUCUGAAUUCCCAUUCACCUUGGGAAUGACUCACAACUGUGUUUCAAUCUCUGCUCCAGCAAUUACAAGCUGUAGGAUCUUGGAGAAGUUACGAAUCAUCUCUGUGCUUCAUUUUGCUCAUCUAUUAACAGUCUAGUCGUAUAGCAGCUGCCUUGGGAGGCUGUUUGGAACUUUAAGUAAGUUCACAUUUGUUAAUCCUAGUGAAAGUGCCUGGCACACAGUAAGCCCUCCCUGAACGUUGCUACUAAACAACUUCCAGGUCCCUCCAACCCUUCUCACUCUUUUUCUCUUCUUCCUUCCUCUGUGCUAUUUGCCACAUGUUCCUUCUUAUGCAUUUUCUUUUGCAAUCAAUGAAUUAUUUUAAAUCAAAA
rnacentral:lncRNA from 13 species